GUCUUUUUGAUUUAUUAAUUUAAAGUCUAAUCUGCUCACUGAAUUUAAAUUUAAAGAGCCGCAGUAUCUUAACUGUGCAAAGGUAGCAUAAUAAUUUGGUUUUUAAUUAAGACCUAGAAUGAAUGAUUGAACGAAAUAUAUACUGUCUCAAUUUUAUUAAAUUAAAAAUUAAUUUUUUAGUUAAAAAGCUAAAAUUAAUUUAAAAGACGAGAAGACCCUAUAGAUUUUUAUAAUAAUAUUUAAUUUAUUAAUUUUAUAUAAAUUAAUUUAUAUUAUAAUUAAUAUUAUUAUUUUAUUGGGGUAAUAAAAAAAUAAUUUAAACUUUUAUUAAAAUUUAACAUUAAUUAAUGAAAAUUUGAUCCUUUAUAUUGAUUAAAAAAUUAAAUUACCUUAGGGAUAACAGCGUAAUUUUAAUUUUAAGUUCUUAUUAAAAUUAAAGAUUGCGACCUCGAUGUUGGAUUAAGAAAAAUUUUAAAAGUAGAAUUUUAAAUUUUAGGUCUGUUCGACCUUUAAAAUCUU
rnacentral:rRNA from 1 species